GACGAACGCUGGCGGCGUGCCUAAUACCUGCAAGUAGAACGCUGAAGGAGGAGCUUGCUUCUCUGGAUGAGUUGCGAACGGGUGAGUAACGCGUAGGUAACCUGCCUGGUAGCGGGGGAUAACUAUUGGAAACGAUAGCUAAUACCGCAUAAUAGUAGAUGUUGCAUGACAUUUGCUUAAAAGGUGCAAUUGCAUCACUACCAGAUGGACCUGCGUUGUAUUAGCUAGUUGGUGAGGUAACGGCUCACCAAGGCGACGAUACAUAGCCGACCUGAGAGGGUGAUCGGCCACACUGGGACUGAGACACGGCCCAGACUCCUACGGGAGGCAGCAGUAGGGAAUCUUCGGCAAUGGACGGAAGUCUGACCGAGCAACGCCGCGUGAGUGAAGAAGGUUUUCGGAUCGUAAAGCUCUGUUGUAAGAGAAGAACGAGUGUGAGAGUGGAAAGUUCACACUGUGACGGUAUCUUACCAGAAAGGGACGGCUAACUACGUG
rnacentral:rRNA from 1 species